rnacentral:lncRNA from 1 species
AACCUGUAAAUAUUUAAGGUAAGUAUUUUAAUUUUAAUACUGUUCUUUAGAUGUGCAUUUCCGCAUCAUCAUUCAUAAACAUAUAUUUACUGGUAAAACACAUGUUCCCCAUAUCCUGGAACAAACAAGUACUAGCCAAACUAAUGUCACGGACGUGAAAGGUAGCUUCUCAACAAUAAUUUCUUAUUCAGAAUCUAUAUAUAUACAUUACAC